rnacentral:lncRNA from 1 species
GGGCCGCGGCGCGGGAAGCCGUUUAGCGAGGCCAGCGCCCCGCGGAGCGGCGGCGGCGGCGCGGGGAGCCUUUUACCUCCCUUUCAGAGGGGCGCCGUCCUCUGCGGCCUAUGCGCUGCCCCGCGUCGUGCUUCGCGGCCGGGCGGGGAGGCCGCUCCGAGCUUGGCGGCUGGGCGGGGGGGGCAGGGCCCUCACGGCUGCCCUUGCCAAAUGGCUCCUCGCCGGAGGAGGAAGCUGCCGCCGCCGCGGGAAGGGGCGCGGCUGCCUCGAGAGACCCAACCAGGAAAAGAAUCUGAAUGGUCAGACUCUAUGUCAUGUCUUAUGAAGAAACUGGAGGAAUUGAAUUUAGAUAUUGAAGAAGCUCUGAGUGCUGGCUCUUCUCCCUCCAGUACUCCUUCUGCCAAAAGGCACAAGCUACUGUGCCCUGUUCAAGUGGAGACUGGCUUUUAUGGAGAUCAUCAAGGAAAGAGAUCUUGGAAAAAUAGAAGAGCAGGCUACCAGGAUCUAGAUUGUUCAUCUAGCCCAGUGUCAGCUGGAGCACGACCAAAAACUGAUGCUUAAGACAACCUGUUCCUCUACAGUCAGAUGCCAAUCCUGUAGAAGACACUGUCUGAAUGCAAAGAUCCAUCCGUGAAGAUGAUGAUUCACUAAUGUACUAUCACAGAUUUUCUCAGAAGUGGCAGAAUCAUGGCAUUAUUUAGUUUGUUUUAAAGAAAACUGUGUGUGAAAUAAAAGGUAUAGAAAUUGCGUAAAGUUGCCCA